rnacentral:lncRNA from 1 species
AGUUGAUCCCAUCAUUGACCAAGGUCCGUCUAAGCGAAUGAAAGUAUGAAACGUCUAAGCAGUUGGUGGCUGCAAGAAUUUGUCCGAUGCUCCAGAUGGUUCUGAUGAAAUGGUACUGUCUAAGGCUGCAAGAAUUUGUACGAUGCUCCAGAUGGUUCUGCUGAAAUGGUACUGUCCAAGCGGUUGGUGGCUGCAAGAAUUUGUACGAUGCUCCAGAUGGUUCUGGGUGAUCCUUAACUAAAUAUUUCCUGCACCUAGUGACUGCAAGUGCUAAAUCUACGAUGCUUGAAAUGGUCCAGAGUGAUCCUUAACUUGAUAGUAGAUUUUUCUGUAUACUAUGUAAAGUAUUAAAUCUUAUGUUAGUCAGAAUCCAUGUAGAUCCUAUCAAGGAGUUAGUUACCUGUAGGCUGUAUGGCCAUGUAAUGCUGUUACAUUAGUUUCCAAUCGUGAAUUUUACCUUAGCUUUCACAUUUUGGAACACAGUUAUUUGGCUCAAAUAUUUUAACAAAUGUUUUCGUCAUUUGGAAAUCGGAAUCUUUUUCAGGGUUGAAUUUGCGGAAAACAAAUUAUUUUUUUAAUGGAAAGAUUGAUUAUGCAGACGUUUAUUCCAUUGGUUGGAGAAGCAGUGUCAGGAGAUUAUAUAAAAUAAAAAUGUGUCUGGACGUACUUGUCCUGAAUUUUUAUAUGUGUUUAUUUUGUUAAGCA